AACAAAUCUGACGUAGUGCCAUCUGCCUUCCUGGGCAUCAUUUGUUACUCAUUGAUGCGGUUCCAGAGUCAUGUCAGAUCACAGAGGUCUUUCCAAUUACUUUUUUUUUUUCUGUGUUCUCCCUUUCAGGCACACGGUUUCCUCAGACCUGUCCUGAAGGCACCUUUACUCCUCCAAACAUGACUGGCCUCUGGAAUGAGAAGGAAUGCCUGCCUUGCUUACCUGGCCACUACUGCAGGCAUGGGCAGCUGGAGGGCAAGUGUGCUGCUGGCUACUUCUGCCUCGCUGGGAGCUCGCAGUCUGCUCCACAGGGCCCUGGCUUUUCCUGGCGCUUUCUGUCUGGAUGCCGCUGGGGCCAGGUGUGUGCUGGGCUGUGUCCUGCAGGUAAGGGAGACUCUCAGAAGUGUAUAAAUUGUAGAAUAGUGAGUUUUUUCUAUUUC
rnacentral:lncRNA from 1 species